rnacentral:rRNA from 1 species
GAAGCGCAGUAAUGUGUGAAGCUAACUCGUACUAAUUGGCUGAUUGUCUUGACCAUAUAUCCUGAGUUUUUUUGGAU